AGUAAGCCCCGCCUUGUCACGUAGCUGUCGUCGAUGCGCAGCCACACACGAGCAGACGAGAGACAAGCAGAGAAAACUAGUAGAAGUCGUAAAACUAGUAUAACUGUAGAAACUGUGUUUAUAAAACUAUAUAAAGCAGUGGAAGUGGAAGUUGAAGGAAACGGAACCGAAGUGAGACCGAAUUGAUGAGCGUCGGGAGUUUUAUUAUUUUCGGCGGAGUCUUGGCUAGGUUUUUUGGAAUCCCUUGAAACCGUUGAGAGAUUGGAUUGAAUUCCCCUUGACGAAGGGGUGGCGAGCUAGUGAUGAAAACACCUCCUUAUCCCAAGGAGUGGAUCGGAUGACCUGUAUGAGAAGCAUCACCUCCCAUCAGGUGAACAGGUUCUGAAGCGCACACGUGACCAUUGACUAACUUUUUGACUUACGACCUGACAUUUUGACUUGAAGUACAUUGAACCAAAGAACACUUGCAAGGAUUUUAUUUUGUUUUUAUUUUAUUUUUCCUUAUGGACAUUCCGCAGCCAUUUAUUGGUGUUUAAAAUAAAUUGUUUUGAAUUGUUCUAAUGUUACCGGAUAUUGAUUAUUAUUGAAAAUUGAAUAUUACUGAUUGCACUUGAAUCUAUUUUAUUAUUUUUCUAAAAGCCAAUACAAUUCAUCUAAACGUAA